rnacentral:rRNA from 1 species
CGUAGGGUCCGAGCGUUAAUCGGAAUUACUGGGCGUAAAGCGUGCGCAGGCGGUCUUGUAAGCCAGAUGUGAAAUCCCCGGGCUCAACCUGGGAACUGCAUUUGGGACUGCAAGGCUGGAGUACGGCAGAGGGAGGUGGAAUUCCACGUGUAGCAGUGAAAUGCGUAGAGAUGUGGAGGAACACCGAUGGCGAAGGCAGCCUCCUGGGCUAGUACUGACGCUCAUGCACGAAAGCGUGGGGAGCAAACAGGAUUAGAUACCCUGGUAGUCCACGCCCUAAACGAUGACAACUAGUUGUUGGGGGAUUACAUCCCUUAGUAACGCAGCUAACGCGUGAAGUUGUCCGCCUGGGGAGUACGGUCGCAAGAUUA